GACGAACGCUGGCGGCGUGCUUAACACAUGCAAGUGGAGCGACGAAGCGGGCUUCGGCCCGUGGCAGAGCCACGAACGGGUGAGUAACACGUGGGUAACCUGCCCCGAUGACUGGGACAACCCGGGGAAACCCGGGCUAAUACCGGAUGUACUCUCACCACACCGGUGGUGAGAGGAAAGGUAGCUUCGGCUUCCGCAUCGGGAUGGGCCCGCGGCCCAUUAGCUUGUUGGUGGGGUAAUGGCCUACCAAGGCUGCGAUGGGUAGCUGGUCUGAGAGGACGAUCAGCCACACUGGGACUGAGACACGGCCCAGACUCCUACGGGAGGCAGCAGUGGGGAAUCUUGCGCAAUGCGCGAAAGCGUGACGCAGCAACGCCGCGUGGGGGAAGAAGGCCUUCGGGUUGUAAACCCCUUUCAGGAGGGACGAAGCCUGGCUGGUGAAUAGCCAGUCCAGGUGACGGUACCUCCACAAGAAGCCCCGGCUAACUACGUGCCAGCCGCCGCCGUAAGAC
rnacentral:rRNA from 1 species